GACGAACGCUGGCGGCAUGCUUAACACAUGCAAGUCGAACGGAAAGGCCCUGCUUUUGUGGGGUGCUCGAGUGGCGAACGGGUGAGUAACACGUGAGUAACCUGCCCUUGACUUUGGGAUAACUUCAGGAAACUGGGGCUAAUACCGGAUAGGAGCUCCUGCUGCAUGGUGGGGGUUGGAAAGUUUCGGCGGUUGGGGAUGGACUCGCGGCUUAUCAGCUUGUUGGUGGGGUAGUGGCUUACCAAGGCUUUGACGGGUAGCCGGCCUGAGAGGGUGACCGGCCUCAUUGGGACUGAGAUACGGCCCAGACUCCUACGGGAGGCAGCAGUGGGGAAUAUUGCACAAUGGGCGGAAGCCUGAUGCAGCAACGCCGCGUGCGGGAUGACGGCCUUCGGGUUGUAAACCGCUUUCGCCUGUGACGAAGCGUGAGUGACGGUAAUGGGUAAAGAAGCACCGGCUAACUACGUG
rnacentral:rRNA from 1 species